UCGCCCUUAGAGUUUAUCCUGCUCAGAACGAACGCUGGCGGCAGGCUUAACACAUGCAAGUCGAACGCCCCGCAAGGGGAGUGGCAGACGGGUGAGUAACGCGUGGGAACAUACCCUUUCCUGCGGAAUAGCUCCGGGAAACUGGAAUUAAUACCGCAUACGCCCUACGGGGGAAAGAUUUAUCGGGGAAGGAUUGGCCCGCGUUGGAUUAGCUAGUUGGUGGGGUAAAGGCCUACCAAGGCGACGAUCCAUAGCUGGUCUGAGAGGAUGAUCAGCCACAUUGGGACUGAGACACGGCCCAAACUCCUACGGGAGGCAGCAGUGGGGAAUAUUGGACAAUGGGCGCAAGCCUGAUCCAGCCAUGCCGCGUGAGUGAUGAAGGCCUUAGGGUUGUAAAGCUCUUUCACCGGAGAAGAUAAUGACGGUAUCCGGAGAAGAAGCCCCGGCUAACUUCGUGCCAGCAGCCGCGGUAAUACGAAGGGGGCUAGCGUUGUUCGGAAUUACUGGGCGUAAAGCGCACGUAGGCGGAUAUUUAAGUCAGGGGUGAAAUCCCAGAGCUCAACUCUGGAACUGCCUUUGAUACUGGGUAUCUUGAGUAUGGAAGAGGUAAGUGGAAUUCCGAGUGUAGAGGUGAAUUCGUAGAUAUUCGGAGGAACACCAGUGGCGAAGGCGGCUUACUGGUCCAUCACUGACGCUGAGGUGCGAAAGCGCGGGGAGCAAACAGGAUUAGAUACCCUGGUAGUCCACGCCGUAGACGAUGAAUGUUAGCCGUCGGGCAGUAUACUGUUCGGUGGCGCAGCUAACGCAUAAAACAUUCCGCCUGGGGAGUACGGUCGCAAGAUUAAAACUCAAAGGAAUUGACGGAAU
rnacentral:rRNA from 1 species